UUAAGUUCAGCGGGUAUCCCUACCUGAUCCGAGGUCAAAAUAAAGUUGCGCUUUCUGGACGCCAGCGGGCCGGGCCGAGACGCGAUGUGCUGCGCUCGAGCCGAAUCCAAAGGCCGCCAAUGAUUUUAAGGCGAGUCCGCGCACAAAGCGGGACAAACGCCCAACACCAAGCAGAGCUUGAAGGGGUUAAAUGACGCUCG
rnacentral:misc_RNA from 1 species